GAUGAACGCUGGCGGCGUGCCUAAUACAUGCAAGUCGAGCGAACAGACGAGGCGCUUGCUCCUCUGACGUUAGCGGCGGACGGGUGAGUAACACGUGGAUAACCUACCUAUAAGACUGGUAUAACUUCGGGAAACCGGCGCUAAUCCCGGAUAAUCUCUUGAUCCGCAUGGUUCAAUAGUGAGAUACGGCUUUGCUGUCACUUAUCGAUGGAUCCGCGCCGCAUUAGCUAGUUGGUACGUUAACGGCUUACCACGGCAACUAUGCGUAGCCGAGCUGAGAGGGGGAUCGGCCACACUGGAGCUGGGACACGGACCAGACGCCUACGAGACGCAGCAGAAGGGAAUCUGACGCAAUGGGCGAAAGCCUGACGGAGCAACGCCGCGUGAGUGAUGAAGGUCUUCGGAGCGUAAAACUCGGUUAUUAGGGAAGAACAAAUGUGGAAGUAACUAUACACGUCGUGACGGUACCGAAUCAGAAAGCCACGGCUAACUACGUG
rnacentral:rRNA from 1 species